rnacentral:rRNA from 1 species
UACGUAGGGUGCGAGCGUUGUCCGGAAUUAUUGGGCGUAAAGAGCUCGUAGGCGGUCUGUCGCGUCGGUCGUGAAAACUUGGGGCUUAACCCUGAGCUUGCGGUCGAUACGGGCAUGACUGGAGUUCGGCAGGGGAGACUGGAAUUCCUGGUGUAGCGGUGAAAUGCGCAGAUAUCAGAAGGAACACCGGUGGCGAAGGCGGGUCUCUGGGCCGAUACUGACGCUGAGGAGCGAAAGCGUGGGGAGCAAACAGG